rnacentral:rRNA from 1 species
GACGAACCGUGCGAACGUUGUUCGGAAUCACUGGGCUUAAAGGGCGCGUAGGCGGCUUCGCCAGUCCGGGGUGAAAGCUUUCGGCUUAACCGGAAAAGGGCCCUGGAUACUGCGAAGCUCGAGGGAGGUAGGGGCAGGCGGAACUUCCGGUGGAGCGGUGAAAUGCGUUGAGAUCGGAAGGAACGCCGGUGGCGAAAGCGGCCUGCUGGAUCUCUUCUGACGCUGAGGCGCGAAAGCCAGGGGAGCGAAC